rnacentral:rRNA from 1 species
CUCCUACUGGAGGCAGCAGUGAGGAAUAUUGGUCAAUGGGCGCGAGCCUGAACCAGCCAAGUAGCGUGAAGGAUGAAGGUCCUACGGAUUGUAAACUGCUUUUAUAAGGGAAUAAAGUGAGAGUCGUGACUCUUUUUGCAUGUACCUUAUGAAUAAGGACCGGCUAAUUCCGUGCCAGCAGCCGCGGUAAUACGGAAGGUCCGGGCGUUAUCCGGAUUUAUUGGGUUUAAAGGGAGCGUAGGCCGGAGAUUAAGCGUGUUGUGAAAUGUAGAUGCUCAACAUCUGAACUGCAGCGCGAACUGGUUUCCUUGAGUACGCACAAAGUGGGCGGAAUUCGUGGUGUAGCGGUGAAAUGCUUAGAUAUCACGAAGAACUCCGAUUGCGAAGGCAGCUCACUGGAGCGCAACUGACGCUGAAGCUCGAAAGUGCGGGUAUCGAACAGGAUUAGAUACCCUGGUAGUCCGCACGGUAAACGAUGGAUGCCCGCUGUUGGUCUGAAUAGGUCAGCGGCCAAGCGAAAGCAUUAAGCAUCCCACCUGGGGAGUACGCCGGCAACGGUGAAACUCAAAGGAAUUGACGGGGGCCCCCACAAGCGGAGGAACAUGUGGUUUAAUUCGAUGAUACGCGAGGAACCUUACCCGGGCUUGAAUUGCAGAGGAAGGAUUUGGAGACAAUGACGCCCUUCGGGGCCUCUGUGAAGGUGCUGCAUGGUUGUCGUCAGCUCGUGCCGUGAGGUGUCGGCUUAAGUGCCAUAACGAGCGCAACCCCUCUCCUUAGUUGCCAUCAGGUCAUGCUGGGCACUCUGGGGACACUGCCACCGUAAGGUGUGAGGAAGGUGGGGAUGACGUCAAAUCAGCACGGCCCUUACGUCCGGGGCUACACACGUGUUACAAUGGCAGGUACAGAGAGACGGUCCCUUGCAAAAUGGAUCAAAUCCUUAAAGCCUGUCUCAGUUCGGACUGGGGUCUGCAACCCGACCCCACGAAGCUGGAUUCGCUAGUAAUCGCGCAUCAGCCAUGGCGCGGUGAAUACGUUCCCGGGCCUUGUACACACCGC